CUGGUUACUGGAUUGAUGUGUGACAAGUGCUCCGAGGUUACUGAUUGGAGGGCUGUGACCCUAGUGCCAGUGUUACUCCAGUGCUACUCCGUGCUAUCCACUGUUUCAGUACCGCCCAGUGAUACCUAGUAUUACCCGGUGCCACCUUGUAUUACCCAAUGCUAUUCAGCCGCCCAGUGCUAGUCAGUGAUACUCAGGACUACACAGUACAAUCUGUAUUAUUCAGUGAUCCAGUGCAACUCAGUGCCAGCCAAUGCUGACCAGUGUAAUUCAGUGCUAUCCAGUGAUAUUUUCAGUGCCUCAGUGCUCAUUGCUUAUAAGGUGUACUCCAGUGUUACUCGGGAGUCACAGGCAACCAUUGAUCUGUUGCCCAGUCUGGGUAGGACUAGGAGCUGGUUGACCCAGUCUCAAGAGUGCGCAUAACCUGAAGCUUAACCCGGACGCUAGAGAUUCAAGAUGGAAACUUGGAAUCACCUAACUCGGAAGAUAGCCUGCCCUGAAGAGUUCUAUGUGUGUGAGCUAUGACUUCUCACGAUGUGAAAGAAAAUUGAAGAUCGGUGACGUCUCAAACACUGAUAUCAGUGCGUCGGAGACGGAAAAAAAGAGAUCCGGAAGACCAACCCUUACAUCGGGAAUUGAAGAAGAUCUUUUGGCCGCUUCACCGCACGCUUUUCCCGUUAUAGGCGGUCUGCUCAAUUUCUGGGUGCUGGCACAUCAGACUCUUCGUCGUCGGAGUCAGGGGUAAUGGAAGCAAAGCGACAUCCUGCAGCAGUUAAACCCAAUACCAGCCGGACUGGGCUGACAGCAAACAACACAAAACUCCCUUCUCAAAAGUAUGUUCAUUUGUAAUGUGCAGGUGGAGCAGGUGCAACAGCUGCAGGCGCAGCUGCGGGCUGCAGGUGCUCAGGUACAACAACAGCAGCAGCAGAUGCAGCAACUGCAAGCACA